AAAAAGACAAACCCUGGUUUCCGUGUCCAACGUUUGACCGUUCGUCUUAUUUGAAAAAAUUAUGAAAAAAAUUAAAAAGAUAAGUCACGCAUAAAGUAUUAAUUAUGUUUUAUCAUCUAACAACAAUUAAAAUACUAAUUAUAAAAAAAUUUCAUAUAAGACGGACAGUCAAACGUUGGCACGGGAACCCAUGGUUUGCCUUUUU
rnacentral:pre_miRNA from 1 species